rnacentral:rRNA from 1 species
AUUGAACGCUGGCGGCAUGCCUUACACAUGCAAGUCGAACGGCAGCACGGGAGCAAUCCUGGUGGCGAGUGGCGAACGGGUGAGUAAUAUAUCGGAACGUGCCCAGUAGUGGGGGAUAACUGCUCGAAAGAGCAGCUAAUACCGCAUACGAACUGAGGGUGAAAGGGGGGGAGGGCAAGACCGGUCGCUAUUGGAGCGGCCGAUAUAAGAUUAGCGAGUUGGGGGGGUACAGGCCUACCAAGGCAACGAUCGGUAGUUGGUCUGAGAGAACGACCAGCCACACUGGGACUGAGACACGGCCCAGACUCCUACGGGAGGCAGCAGUGGGGAAUUUUGGACAAGGGGCGCAAGCCUGAUCCAGCAAUGCCGCGUGCAGGAAGAAGGCCUUCGGGUUGUAAACUGCUUUUGUCAGGGAAGAAAUCCUCUAGGUUAAUACCCUUGGGGGGAUGACGGUACCUGAAGAAUAAGCACCGGCUAACUACGUGCCAGCCGCCGCCGUAAUAC